UGCGCGUGCGUGAUGAGAGCCACGCCCAUUCUUCCCGGAGCCUGCGCUCCUUCUACUUCACCAGACAUCGAGCUGCCAAGCUUUACAGCUCCCAACACCUAGAUACCUGUAUUUUUCCAAAGCCUUGGUUUGGGAGUCAUUUCCUGAUGCGUUACAGCUCCUUUGGACUGAGUAUGCUUCCGACGUCAGGGAGCAAGAUGGCAUUGAUCCUUCUGUCUUCUCUUCCCACUUAAGACCUAAAAUGGGAGAUUUCGCUCUGUAAAAAUUCAUCUAUUGAUAUUUAAGAAAAUGCUUACCAGGCACCUCGAAUGGAACAGUUCUGUACAAGGUAGACCUACCAUGGUGAACAAAGGAAACAGUCCCCACCGUCUUUGUUCUGGAAGCUCAGUAAAGGAGCAUGGAAGGCAUGAAAGGAAGUCCAUCACAGAUGUUCCUAGGUGGGCUGCUUUCCUAGGAGUACUCCUCCCACCUAGGUCAGACCCAGGAACCUUCCACUGUUGGCUCCAUCUUCCCCUGGAGCCCCAGGGACCAUCUGUCCCCACCAGCUGACCGGAAAAGACUGGGAGCAAGGGAAGGACCUCACCAGUUACUCGAGGGGCCAUACCUGGGAGCCAAGUGGGCCACCUCCCCCACAUUGUACUGACCAGAACUAGUUCCACAACCCUUCAUCAGUGCAAAGGAGCAAGCACAAAGCUCUUUUUGGGACUUCGGAAGACAAUAAAAGGCUGGUCAGCACUGGAAUUAUCACUGCCACAGAGUGAUUUUUUAUUUUCACCCAUGAAGGGGCAAACUCAUCUCUAGACACAAUCUCUGAACUACUUGGAUGAUGUGGAGAGCUAAAUGAAAAAUAUUUUUCCUAUUCCCAUGGAUGAUAAAGAGGAGAAGAUUCCAUUCAUUAUCUCUUUCUAUUAAAAGCCUAUAUGGGGGUGCCUGGCUGGCACAGUUGGUUGAGCGUCCGAGUCUUGGUUUCUGCUGAUGUCGUGAUCUCAGCGUUGUGGGAUUGAGCGCCAUGUCAGGCUUCCUGCUGAGCGGGAAUCUGCUUGUCUCCCUCUCCCCUUUCCCCUGCUCGCCCUCAUGCUCUCACUCUCAAAUAAAUUCAAAUAAAAUAGUUUUUUUAAAAAGCC